rnacentral:tRNA from 1 species
GGUGGACCAUGGUUCAGUGGUAGAGCAUCUGCUUUGCAUGCAAAAGGUCCCAGGUUUAGUCCCUGAUACCUCCA